UCUUGGGUGGUUUUUCCUUUCAAGAUGCAAAAGCCGUGUAAAACUAUAUCACUGGGAUGGUGGGAUCGCAAAACAGUCCAUGAAAAUCUCACAUUCACUUACAUGGGAUGCUUUUUAAACAGGGAAACGGGGGCACCCAUGUUUAAUUAAGGAUACGGGCUACUGUCACAGGUUAAAGCUAUUCACAGACGGUCACACGCUUCACUAACUCACUAAUUACAUCCAGGCGGUGUUUCAGGUCUUAAAAGUGUCUAGAAAGUACUAAAAGUUGCCCACUGUCCACUGUCACGGGUCAAGGCUUUCUCUCUUCACACGAGGUCACACGCUUCACUAACUCACUAAUUACAUCCAGGCAGUGUUUCAGGUCUUCACAGUGUCUAGAAAGCACAAAAAAAAACACCGAAAAAGUUAUACAAAAAGUUUCCCCCACUGUCCACUGUCACAUGUUGUCUCUCUUCGCACAAGGUCACAAGCUUCACUAACUCACAGGUCAAGGCUCUCUUCGCACAAGGUCACAAGCUUCACUAACUCACAGGUCAAGGCUCUCUUCGCACAAGGUCACAAGCUUCACUAACUCACAGGUCAAGGCUCUCUUCGCACAAGGUCACAAGCUUCACUAACUCACAGGUCAAGGCUCUCUUCGCACAAGGUCACAAGCUUCACUAACUCACAGGUCAAGGCUCUCUUCGCACAAGGUCACAAGCUUCACUAACUCACAGGUCAAGGCUCUCUUCGCACAAGGUCACAAGCUUCACUAACUCACAGGUCAAGGCUCUCUUCGCACAAGGUCACAAGCUUCACUAACUCACAGGUCAAGGCUCUCUUCGCACAAGGUCACAAGCUUCACUAACUCACAGGUCAAGGCUCUCUUCGCACAAGGUCACAAGCUUCACUAACUCACAGGUCAAGGCUCUCUUCGCACAAGGUCACAAGCUUCACUAACUCACAGGUCAAGGCUCUC